UGGUGAGCCAUGAGUACAGUGGAGAC
rnacentral:piRNA from 1 species